rnacentral:rRNA from 1 species
GAUUCUGGCUCAGGAUGAACGCUAGCUACAGGCUUAACACAUGCAAGUCGAGGGGCAGCGAGAGUGUAGCAAUACACUUGUCGGCGACCGGCGCACGGGUGAGUAACGCGUAUCCAACCUGGCCCAUAGUAGGGGAUAGCCCGGCGAAAGUCGGAUUAAUACCCUAUGUUUUCCUUUGAGAGCAUUUGAAGAGGAACAAAGAUUCAUCGCUAUGGGAUGGGGAUGCGUCCGAUUAGCUUGCCGGCGGGGUAACGGCCCACCGGGGCUACGAUCGGUAGGGGUUCUGAGAGGAAGGUCCCCCACAUUGGUACUGAGACACGGACCAAACUCCUACGGGAGGCAGCAGUGAGGAAUAUUGGUCAAUGGGCGCGAGCCUGAACCAGCCAAAGUAGCGUGCAGGAAGACGGCCCUACGGGUUGUAAACUGCUUUUGCCGGGGAAUAAAGUGCGCCACGUGUGGUGUUUUGUAUGUACCCGGAGAAUAAGGACCGGCUAAUUCCGUGCCAGCAGCCGC